CUGUGUCCGUGGCAGCCUUCCCCCUCUCGUUUUCCCACAUUGAUGAUAAUAUGCGUGGGACUGUGUGAAAACACCAGAAGUGCUGUACUCGUUCAGCACAGUGACACCCUCCCUCCAGCUCCAGGUGUUUUGUUUUUGGCAGUCCUAGAUGAUGUAGACAUCAAAAUAGUAGUACAUCCUGUUUUUUGGUUGGUUGGUUGUUUUUUUGAGAUGGAGUCUCACCCUGUCGCCCAGGCUGGAGUGCAGUGGCGUGAUCUUGGCUCACUGCAACCUCCGCCUUCUGGAUCCAAGCACAUCCUGUUUUUAAUCCAUCAUCCAUCGUGUCUAAACCUCUCUUAAACACAUUUCUCUGUUCAGCAUGUACAACCCCUGGUGGGGGCUGGGAGGUGGCAGAUCGGGGAGUAAAGAGUUCUUUAUUUGUUGCCUGGUAAAUUGUAUAUACUUUUUAGCUGGUAUCCCCUAGUUUUCCUACUUGGGGAUUUUGUAAACAGGUCUGUGUAUCCUUAUUUAUUACCACAUAUGAGUUUAUUGUGUGUAGGUUAUAAUAAUAUAUCUUGGUUUUUUAUCUUUCCAGAAGGAAAAAAGCUAAUGUCAUACAGAUCUGCUUUGUCCCCUGGCUGUUUUAAUUGGCUUUCUCUGAAUCAUUUCUGUUUCUGUCAGUGCUGCUGUGGGGGACCUGAUUAUAUCAAUGUUAUAAACUUGAAUUGAUAAGACAUGUGGUUGAUGUUUCACGGGGGUGAAAUUUAACUCUAGGUCCAUAUUACUCUCCUGUUUAUGGAUGAGUGAUGGAUGACUUCCUGAGCCAUGAUUAUUUUUCUCUACAAAGAGCAGUGAUCUCUCUACCCGCUAAGAAUACUGACUCUUUGUUAGCUGAUGAAGGCAGUGACUUUGAAGAUAGCUUCAAUCGCAAUGUGAAGAAGAAAGCAAAAGGACCACCAAAAACAACGCCGGUGGCAAACAUCCAAAGAAAGGUUCCGAGUGGCACAUCGUCAUAGCCGGAAACAGUCAGAGCCACCAGCCAAUGAUCUCUUCAAUGCUGUGAAAGCCACCAAAAGUGACAUGAAGUCUUUGGUAGAUGAGUGGCUGGAUAGCUACAAGCAAGACCAGGAUGCAGGAUUUCUGGAGCGUGUUAACUUUUUCAUCUGAACUUGUGGAUGUAAAGGCACUGUGAGCCCUGAGGUGUUCAAGAAGAUGUCCAACUCAGAGAUCAUCCAGCACCUGACACAGCGUGUAAUGAGGUGGAAGAAGACGACCAGGAUCUUCUUACCCCUCUUAUUUCAAAACAAAAUGCCUAUUAUCCCCUUCUUUUUGAGUCUGUGAAAUAAGGUAGCUUUUAGAAGGUGGAGUUCAGUCUCUUGGGGGUAAAAGAGAUCUGAAUAUGCCUCUCAAACUGGGGAGACUACCAGGAAAUGAAGUAUAUCAGAGAUAUUUUUACUAGACUGUUGGGUUUUGACAUCCAAGCCCCUAUGACUUCAUGGACCUGGUCAUAACUUUCCCAUCCUUUUCAUACAUCCUUUUGUAGGACUCAGGGGACUAUCCUCUGACAGCUCCAGGUCCAUCCUGGAAGAAGUUCCAGGGCAGCUUCUGUGAGUUUGUGGGGACAUUGGUCUGGCAGUGCCAGUACAGCCUCCUCCAUGCUGGCUGCCCUGUGGACAGCCUCAUCUCCCUGCUCA